rnacentral:rRNA from 1 species
GCAUAUCAAUAAGCGGAGGAAAAGAAACCAACAGGGAUUGCCCUAGUAACGGCGAGUGAAGCGGCAACAGCUCAAAUUUGAAAUCUGGCUCUUUCAGAGUCCGAAUUGUAAUUUGCAGAGGGCGCUUUGGCGUUGGCAGCGGUCCAAGUUCCUUGGAACAGGACGUCACAGAGGGUGAGAAUCCCGUACGUGGUCGCUGGCCUUCGCCGUGUAAAGCCCCUUCGACGAGUCGAGUUGUUUGGGAAUGCAGCUCUAAAUGGGAGGUAAAUUUCUUCUAAAGCUAAAUACUGGCCAGAGACCGAUAGCGCACAAGUAGAGUGAUCGAAAGAUGAAAAGCACUUUGGAAAGAGAGUCAAAUAGCACGUGAAAUUGUUGAAAGGGAAGCGCUUGCAGCCAGACUUGCCUGUAGUUGCUCAUCUGGGCUUUUGCCCAGUGCACUCUUCUGCGGGCAGGCCAGCAUCAGUUUGGGCGGUUGGAUAAAGGUCUCUAUCACGUACCUCCUCUCGGGGAGGCCUUAUAGGGGAGACGACAUGCAACCAGCCUGGACUGAGGCCCGCGCAUUUGCUAGGAUGCUGGCGUAAUGGCUGUAAGCGGCCCGUCUUGAAACACGGACCAAGGAGUCUAACAUCUAUGCGAGUGUUUGGGUGUCAAGCCCGAGCGCGCAAUGAAAGUGAACGGAGGUGGGAACCCUUUUUGGGGUGCACCAUCGACCGAUCCUGAUGUCUUCGGAUGGAUUUGAGUAAGAGCAUGGCUGUUGGGACCCGAAAGAUGGUGAACUAUGCUUGAAUAGGGUGAAGCCAGAGGAAACUCUGGUGGAGGCUCGCAGCGGUUCUGACGUGCAAAUCGAUCGUCAAAUUUGGGCAUAGGGGCGAAAGACUAAUCGAACUAUCUAGUAGCUGGUUCCUGCCGA